AUUUCAGUGUGCUUGCAAACUGGAGAUGGCGACCGGCGCACGGGUGAGUAACACGUAUCCAACCUGCCGAUAACUCGGGGAUAGCCUUUCGAAAGAAAGAUUAAUACCCGAUGGCAUAAUUGGACCGCAUGGUCUUAUUAUUAAAGAAUUUCGGUUAUCGAUGGGGAUGCGUUCCAUUAGGCAGUUGGUGAGGUAACGGCUCACCAAACCUUCGAUGGAUAGGGGUUCUGAGAGGAAGGUCCCCCACAUUGGAACUGAGACACGGUCCAAACUCCUACGGGAGGCAGCAGUGAGGAAUAUUGGUCAAUGGGCGCAGGCCUGAACCAGCCAAGUAGCGUGAAGGAUGACUGCCCUAUGGGUUGUAAACUUCUUUUAUAUGGGAAUAAAGUUUUCCACGUGUGGAAUUUUGUAUGUACCAUAUGAAUAAGGAUCGGCUAACUCCGUGCCAGCAGCCGCGGUAAUACGGAGGAUCCGAGCGUUAUCCGGAUUUAUUGGGUUUAAAGGGAGCGUAGGUGGACAGUUAAGUCAGUUGUGAAAGUUUGCGGCUCAACCGUAAAAUUGCAGUUGAUACUGGCUGUCUUGAGUACAGUAGAGGUGGGCGGAAUUCGUGGUGUAGCGGUGAAAUGCUUAGAUAUCACGAAGAACUCCGAUUGCGAAGGCAGCUCACUGGACUGCAACUGACACUGAUGCUCGAAAGUGUGGGUAUCAAACAGGAUUAGAUACCCUGGUAGUCCACACAGUAAACGAUGAAUACUCGCUGUUUGCGAUAUACAGUAAGCGGCCAAGCGAAAGCAUUAAGUAUUCCACCUGGGGAGUA
rnacentral:rRNA from 1 species